rnacentral:rRNA from 1 species
UACGUAGGGUGCAAGCGUUUGUCCGGAAUUAUUGGGCGUAAAGAGCUCGUAGGCGGUUCGUCGCGUCGGCUGUGAAAACCUGAGGCUCAACCUCAGGCCUGCAGUCGAUACGGGCGGACUUGAGUACUGCAGGGGAGACUGGAAUUCCUGGUGUAGCGGUGAAAUGCGCAGAUAUCAGGAGGAACACCGGUGGCGAAGGCGGGUCUCUGGGCAGUAACUGACGCUGGAG